UUGCAGCCAGUUAAGCUGAUCAUGGGGGCCUGGUGCAAUGGCUGCUAACAGCAGCCUCCUCGGCAGUGCAUGCAGCCUGUUGCCUGUGCAGGUUGCUCAAAGGGAUCCUGGAGACAACC
ensembl:snoRNA SNORA70 Small nucleolar RNA SNORA70